rnacentral:rRNA from 1 species
GUCUACGGCCACACCACCCUGAACGCGCCCGAUCUCGUCUGAUCUCGGAAGCUAAGCAGGGUUGGGCCUGGUUAGUACUUGGAUGGGAGAAUAUAAAACUGGUAGUGCUCUAGCAU